CGGAGGGUGCGAGCGUUGUCCGGAAUCAUUGGGCGUAAAGGGCGCGUAGGUGGCCCGGUAAGCGUGCGGUGAAAGCUUGGGGCUCAACCCCGAGUCGGCCGUGCGAACUGCUGGGCUUGAGCACUGUAGAGGCAGGCGGAAUUCCGGGUGUAGCGGUGGAAUGCGUAGAGAUCCGGAAGAACACCGGUGGCGAAGGCGGCCUGCUGGGCAGUAGCUGACACUGAGGCGCGACAGCGUGGGGAGCAAACAGGAUUAGAUACCCUGGUAGUCCACGCCGUAAACGAUGGGCACUAGGCGCUUGGGGGAGCGACCCCCCGAGGGCCGGCGCUAACGCAUUAAGUGCCCCGCCUGGGGAGUACGGCCGCAAGGCUG
rnacentral:rRNA from 1 species